rnacentral:rRNA from 1 species
AGCAGCCGCGGUAAUUCCAGCUCCAAUAGCGUAUAUUAAAGUUGUUGCAGUUAAAAAGCUCGUAGUUGAAUUUCGGGGUUAGUAGGUUGGUCAUGCCUCUGGUAUGUACUGGUCUCACUGAUUCCUCCUUCCUGAUGAACCGUAAUGCCAUUAAUUUGGUGUUGCGGGGAAUUUGGACUGUUACUUUGAAAAAUUAGAGUGUUUAAAGCAAGCUAACGCUUGAAUACAUUAGCAUGGAAUAAUGAAAUAGGACGUUUGAUUCUAUUUUGUUGGUUUCUAGGAUCGACGUAAUGAUUAAUAGGGAUAGUUGGGGCAUUAGUAUUCAAUUGUCAGAGGUGAAAUUCUUGGAUUUAUUGAAGACUAACUACUGCGAAAGCAUUUGCCAAGGAUGUUUUCAUUAAUCAAGAACG